rnacentral:rRNA from 1 species
GACGAACUGCCCAAACGUUGUUCGGAAUCACUGGGCUUAAAGGGCGCGUAGGCGGCAGAUCAAGUCAGGGGUGAAAUCCGGCAGCUCAACUGUCGAAGUGCCUUUGAUACUGAUUUGCUCGAGGGAUAUAGGGGUCUGUGGAACUUCUGGUGGAGCGGUGAAAUGCGUUGAUAUCAGAAGGAACGCCGGUGGCGAAAGCGGGUCUCUGGGCCGUAACUGACGCUGAGGAGCGAAAGCAUGGGGAGCGAACAGG